UUUGGGUGAGGGCGUGUUGGUUCCUGUCUAUGACAGGCGAAGAGGGAAUGCGACAAGGCCCCGGGUCAUCAGACCCGCGACCCCAAGCGCAGCCGCCCCCGCGACCGUGACCGGAGAGGUCGCCCGAUCCACUGGCCCCGAUUGGGGCUGGGAAGGUGGGACGACCGUCGGGGCAUCCGCCCCUGAAUCCGCAAGCCGGGAGACCUGCCAGCACCUGACGAUGACG
rnacentral:ncRNA from 2 species